rnacentral:rRNA from 1 species
CCCGCUGAACUUAAGCAUAUCAGUAGGCGGAGGAAAAGAAACUAACGAGGAUUCCCUUAGUAACUGCGAGUGAACAGGGAAAAGCCCGACGCUGAAGCCUAGGCCGUAAAAAGACUGGGCAAUGUGGCGUUUUCGAGUACGUUCGUCGGCCCACACAAAGUGCGUCCGUUCCCCAGCUUGCACAAGUCUGCGUGACCGUGGCUCUUUAUACCCCGAGAGGGUGAAAGGCCCGUUCGGGUACCUUAAAAGGUUACCGAGCUGAAAUGGGGCGGCGUACGGGUCGAUCCAUGCGUACGAAGCGAGUCGGAUUGCUUGAGAGUGCAAUCUUAAGACGGGUGGUAAACUCCAUCCAAGGCUAAAUACGAUUCCACCAGACCGAUAGCGAACAAGUACCGUGAGGGAAAGUUGCAAAGAACUCUGAAGAGAGGGUUCAAAAGAACGUGAAACCGAUCGGCAGUAACCGGGAGGCAUGCCUCGAAACAGAGCUGGGUUUCGAGAGGGGCGACUGUGAGAGAUUCAGCCCGGUUUGCUCGGUCGGGUGCCUGCGGAAUUGUCCUCGAGACGAGCGAACAAACGAUACCUAGUGCGGAUCGGUGGGCGGCGGUUCUUCCGUCGUCUGCUGCGUUCGCCAGUUCGUUGUCGCUUCCGCCGCCCGACUCGCCGAGCGCGGGUGCAUUUUCUUGCUCUGCCCUUCCCUCGGGGCGCGGCCCUCGUUGCCGCGCCUCGGGUUUCGUACCCACGCCGUCGCCGAGUCCUCGCGAGCGUAUUGGGCCGGGGAACCGGCGGGUUGUUGGUUAGAGUUCGCCUCUCUCGUAGCGGCGUUCCCGUUUCUAGCCUUUCCCGCCAUUCUCCUCGUCUUCGGACGGCCUGCGCUAGCAAACGAGCGGCUCGGUUUGUUUGACGUGGCGUCCCCCGUGCGUGCGACCAAACGUGCUUUCCGAUACGCGGCAAGCCGGCACCGUCUGCGGUUCGUCCGAGGCACCGUCUCUGUUUACCAGAGUACGCGUCUCGACGGCCCCCUCGGUCCGGCUUUUCACGCCGAAAUUGGACACUCGAUUACUUGGCCGCCACACGCCGGGGUGUCUUCGCUACUCGAUCAUUUUUAGACGGCCGAGUAGAAAGGCUUGCUUCCCGACCCGUCUUGAAACACGG